GACGAACGCUGGCGGCGUGCUUAACACAUGCAAGUCGAGCGGUAAAGGCCCUUCGGGGUACGACGAGCGGCGAACGGGUGAGUAACACGUGGGUGACCUGCCUUUAGCUCUGGGAUAAGCCUGGGAAACUGGGUCUAAUACCGGAUAUGACUCCACGGCGCAUGUUGUGGGGUGGAAAGCCUUGUGCGGCUGGAGAUGGGCCCGCGGCCUAUCAGCUUGUUGGUGGGGUGAGGCCUACCAAGGCGACGACGGGUAGCCGGCCUGAGAGGGCGACCGGCCACACUGGGACUGAGACACGGCCCAGACUCCUACGGGAGGCAGCAGUGGGGAAUCUUGCGCAAUGGGCGAAAGCCUGACGCAGCGACGCCGCGUGAGGGA
rnacentral:rRNA from 1 species